UACGUAGGGUCCGAGCGUUGUCCGGAAUUAUUGGGCGUAAAGAGCUCGUAGGCGGUCUGUCGCGUCGGCUGUGAAAUCCCGAGGCUCAACCUCGGGUCUGCAGUCGAUACGGGCAAACUGGAGUGUUGCAGGGGAGACUGGAAUUCCUGGUGUAGCGGUGAAAUGCGCAGAUAUCAGGAGGAACACCGGUGGCGAAGGCGGGUCUCUGGGCAACAACUGACGCUGAGGAGCGAAAGCGUGGGGAGCGAACAGG
rnacentral:rRNA from 1 species